rnacentral:rRNA from 1 species
UACGUAGGGUGCAGGCGUUAAUCGGAAUUACUGGGCGUAAAGCGUGCGCAGGCGGUUUGCUAAGACAGGUGUGAAAUCCCCGGGCUUAACCUGGGAACUGCGCUUGUAACUGGCAAGCUUGAGUGUGGCAGAGGGGGGUGGAAUUCCACGUGUAGCAGUGAAAUGCGUAGAGAUGUGGAGGAACACCGAUGGCGAAGGCAAUCCCCUGGGCCUGCACUGACGCUCAUGCACGAAAGCGUGGGGAGCAAACAGG